UCAAAGCCUUCAGAAUCCAAGCAAAAGAAAUGAGAGAGGCUGCCCUGGAUACACUGAGUGAAAUGUAAACUGAUGUUUUGUCCAAGUGUGAUGGAAAAUGAAGAUGUAGGCUCCACUACAGCUAUUGUACUCCACUACCGGAUUCAAUGGGGCUUACAUGUCUUCCUGUGUUUGUGCAAUGGUUGUGCACUGAUGCUUGGAAGGGAUCCACUGUCCUCGUUGAAGCGGGAAGGACCAUUUUGACUAUUUGUCAAUGCCCACCUGGCAAUCUGAAUUUAGGAGCCGCUUUCAUGGGCGCGUCGCUGCAGGGCAAACAAGGCCUCAAAACUUCAGCGGACCUCUACCCCCAAGAGAGCUCUGAAACUUAUCUUAAGAAAAUAAAUGUCUUAAUACUUUUCUGUCUUCUAUAGUUUUAACUGUUGCUUUAGCUUGGCUGGAAAAUAGCUAUGUAAAGCUAAUUGAAAAUCUUGCUGAAGGAAGGUUUUAGUGUUUCAGACUGUUGGGUUCGUAUGACUCUCCCAAGAAGUGUAGGAAGUGUGCCAAUUUACACAGCAGUUGCACUAAAUUGGACAAUACUGGAUUAUGUAACAAAUCAGAUGGAAAAUGGUGGAAAUUGUAAAUGCG
rnacentral:lncRNA from 1 species